ensembl:snRNA U1 U1 spliceosomal RNA
AUAUUUACCACAUAGAGGAGUUAUCAUGAUCAUGAAGGUGAUUUCCCCAGAAUGAGGCUUUUCUAUAGCAUCCCAGAUGUGCUGACUCCUGCCAUUUCCCCAAAUGUGGGAAACUCACCUGCAUAAUUUGUAAUAGUCCGGGACUGCAUUUGUACCCUCCUCUC